rnacentral:rRNA from 1 species
AGAAUCAACGCUGGCGGCGUGCCUAACACAUGCAAGUCGAACGAGAAAGUGGAGCAAUCCAUGAGUAAAGUGGCGCGGACGGGUGAGUAACACGUGACUAACCUACCCUUGAGUGGGGGAUAACCUAGGGAAACCUGGGCUAAUACCGCAUAAUACCUUCGGGUCAAAGGAGCAAUUCGCUUUAGGAGGGGGUCGCGGCCGAUUAGUUAGUUGGCGGGGUAAUGGCCCACCAAGACGAUGAUCGGUA